CUUUAAGUCUCCUGAAGGAACGUUAAAGACGAUGACGUUGAUAGGCCGGGUGUGUAAGCGCAGCGAUGCGUUGAGCUAACCGGUACUAAUGAACCGUGAGGCUUAACCUU
rnacentral:rRNA from 1 species